rnacentral:misc_RNA from 1 species
CUAAGAUACGUGGGAAACUCCGAAUCCCAUAUGGAUUAUGAAACCCACGAUGUAAUCUCCACCGACAAGAAAAGAGCCCUAACUACAUCUAUAUAUAUAACCCAAAAACAAGAAAAUUCCUCAUACAUUACUCAGUGGUUUCAGUCAGCCUUCAUGAUGAGUGCUAGAAGAAUUGAAGUCAACCUAAAUUCUUCUAUAAGCAAGUUCCUCAAUCCCACGCAGCCUCCCAUUUUGUUUCUCGAGCUUAUCCAACUGCUCGAGAUGGAAGCUUAUCCAACUGCUCCAACCUCCUCUUUUCCCUUCCAGAUUUAUCAUCUUCACCUACUUGAUCUGCCACUCUGCCGAUGCCAUCUUGAAGACCUGUUUUCUUCCUUCGUUUUUGACAACUAAUUACGCCAAUUCUUUACUUAUCGCAUUGCAAACUUCCUCAUCUUUUUGGCCAAUAGGUACCCUUUCUUGGGGUUUCCCGUGGUGGCCGACGUAAAUAUUAUCCAUGAGGACUUGCUUCAUGCAAAUCCCAUUGAUUUGACGAUGAUAAUGGACGAAGUGAGCCAAGAAGUGAUUCCCAGAAGUGCAUCAAGUUCCGUGCUGAACCAGUUGAGGAAGUGGAGGUUUUUCGCUGCGAAGGAGGGCGGUGACUGUGCGAUUUGUUUAGAAGAAUUAUCUGGAGCCAGAUUCCCACUCACGAAGAUGCCGUGCUCUCACUUGUCGACGGGAACUUGAGGAUUGAAUGCUGAUGAUCGUACUGUUUUCAGAGGUGACUUUUUGUUUUCUGCCACAGUUUUCAAUUCUAGUCUUGAAAUUAGAUUAUAUUCAUCAAAUCAGUUACCUAGCAAUGUGCAGUUUGAAGGGGGCUAUAGGAUUCAAUAUUCUAUUCUGUUAAAAGUCUGCAUUUUUUUAAUAAUGAAGUUUCUUUUCUUUAUCCUUAAUUGUAUUGAAUGAUAAUUGUAUUGAAUGAUGGUGUGAGUGACUUAGCCAAUCUGUUUGCUCAUUUCGACCAGAAUUUAUGAGAUUGUUUAAUGUUUAUGCUAAUUAAUGAAGAUUGAGCAUGUAUAA